UUCAACAUGUUCUUCUUGUAGGCCUUUCAAUACAAUCUCAAUUGGCAUGCCAUAUUUGCAGAUCCCACUAAACCUAUAGCAGUCGAUAUUGGCAGCGGAAAUGGCUUGUUUAUUUUGAAGGUGGCUAGAAAAUGCACAGAUUUAAACUUUCUUGGGCUUGAGAUUAACAGGAAGCUUGUUCAGAGAUGCUUAGAUAAUUUGCAUCAAUCUGAGUUCAAAAAUGGGUGAGUGUCUUUAAUGCAACUUGCAGUUACACGUGAAAGUUACCUAGUGUUAAUAGUUCUAGUUCAGAAACACUUGUUUGAAGUCUUGUAUAUUGGUCAUUUAUCUUAAAUAAUUAAUUUAUCUUUAUGCA